rnacentral:tRNA from 1 species
UAUUUAGAAGCAUUACUGCGUAGAAUUGUAAAUUCUAAUAUGGAAUUAUUUCCCUAAAU